CAACCUCAACUCAUAUGGGACUACCCCCUGAAUUUAAGCAUAUUAAUUAGGGGAGGAAAAGAAACUAACAAGGAUUUUCUUAGUAGCGGCGAGCGAAAAGAAAACAGUUCAGCACUAAGUCACUUUGUCUAUAUGGCAAAUGUGAGAUGCAGUGUAUGGAGCGUCAAUAUUCUAGUAUGAGAAAUUAACGAUUUAAGUCCUUCUUAAAUGAGGCCAUUUACCCAUAGAGGGUGCCAGGCCCGUAUAACGUUAAUGAUUACUAGAUGAUGUUUCCAAAGAGUCGUGUUGCUUGAUAGUGCAGCACUAAGUGGGUGGUAAACUCCAUCUAAAACUAAAUAUAACCAUGAGACCGAUAGUAAACAAGUACCGUGAGGGAAAGUUGAAAAGAACUCUGAAUAGAGAGUUAAACAGUACGUGAAACUGCUUAGAGGUUAAGCCCGAUGAACCUGAAUAUCCGUUAUGGAAAAUUCAUCAUUAAAAUUGUAAUAUUUAAAUAAUAUUAUGAGAAUAGUGUGCAUUUUUUCCAUAUAAGGACAUUGUAAUCUAUUAGCAUAUACCAAAUUUAUCAUAAAAUAUAACUUAUAGUUUAUUCCAAUUAAAUUGCUUGCAUUUUAACACAGAAUAAAUGUUAUUAAUUUGAUAAAGUGCUGAUAGAUUUAUAUGAUUACAGUGCGUUAAUUUUUCGGAAUUAUAUAAUGGCAUAAUUAUCAUUGAUUUUUGUGUUUAUUAUAUGCACUUGUAUGAUUAACAAUGCGAAAGAUUCAGGAUACCUUCGGGACCCGUCUUGAAACACGGACCAAGGAGUCUAACAUAUGUGCAAGUUAUUGGGAUAUAAACCUAAUAGCGUAAUUAACUUGACUAAUAAUGGGAUUAGUUUUUUAGCUAUUUAUAGCUAAUUAACACAAUCCCGGGGCGUUCUAUAUAGUUAUGUAUAAUGUAUAUUUAUAUUAUUUAUGCCUCUAACUGGAACGUACCUUGAGCAUAUAUGCUGUGACCCGAAAGAUGGUGAACUAUACUUGAUCAGGUUGAAGUCAGGGGAAACCCUGAUGGAAGACCGAAACAGUUCUGACGUGCAAAUCGAUUGUCAGAAUUGAGUAUAGGGGCGAAAGACCAAUCGAACCAUCUAGUAGCUGGUUCCUUCCGAAGUUUCCCUCAGGAUAGCUGGUGCAUUUUAAUAUUAUAUAAAAUAAUCUUAUCUGGUAAAGCGAAUGAUUAGAGGCCUUAGGGUCGAAACGAUCUUAACCUAUUCUCAAACUUUAAAUGGGUAAGAACCUUAACUUUCUUGAUAUGAAGUUCAAGGUUAUGAUAUAAUGUGCCCAGUGGGCCACUUUUGGUAAGCAGAACUGGCGCUGUGGGAUGAACCAAACGUAAUGUUACGGUGCCCAAAUUAACAACUCAUGCAGAUACCAUGAAAGGCGUUGGUUGCUUAAAACAGCAGGACGGUGAUCAUGGAAGUCGAAAUCCGCUAAGGAGUGUGUAACAACUCACCUGCCGAAGCAACUAGCCCUUAAAAUGGAUGGCGCUUAAGUUGUAUACCUAUACAUUACCGCUAAAGUAGAUGAUUUAUAUUACUUGUGAUAUAAAUUUUGAAACUUUAGUGAGUAGGAAGGUACAAUGGUAUGCGUAGAAGUGUUUGGCGUAAGCCUGCAUGGAGCUGCCAUUGGUACAGAUCUUGGUGGUAGUAGCAAAUAAUCGAAUGAGACCUUGGAGGACUGAAGUGGAGAAGGGUUUCGUGUGAACAGUGGUUGAUCACGAGUUAGUCGGUCCUAAGUUCAAGGCGAAAGCCGAAAAUUUUCAAGUAAAACAAAAAUGCCUAACUAUAUAAACAAAGCGAAUUAUAAUACACUUGAAUAAUUUUGAACGAAAGGGAAUACGGUUCCAAUUCCGUAACCUGUUGAGUAUCCGUUUGUUAUUAAAUAUGGGCCUCGUGCUCAUCCUGGCAACAGGAACGACCAUAAAGAAGCCGUCGAGAGAUAUCG
rnacentral:ncRNA from 1 species